rnacentral:rRNA from 1 species
UAUUUUCCUUUUUUUCCCGCAGCCGCGGUAAUACGUAUGGUGCAAGCGUUAUCCGGAUUUACUGGGUGUAAAGGGAGCGUAGACGGAGUGGCAAGUCUGAUGUGAAAACCCGGGGCUCAACCCCGGGACUGCAUUGGAAACUGUCAAUCUGGAGUACCGGAGAGGUAAGCGGAAUUCCUAGUGUAGCGGUGAAAUGCGUAGAUAUUAGGAGGAACACCAGUGGCGAAGGCGGCUUACUGGACGGUAACUGACGUUGAGGCUCGAAAGCGUGGGGAGCAAACAGG